rnacentral:rRNA from 1 species
AGGACGAACGCUGGCGGCGUGCUUAACACAUGCAAGUCGAACGGAAAGGCCCGCUUGCGGGUACUCGAGUGGCGAACGGGUGAGUAACACGUGGGCAACCUGCCCUCAGCUUCGGGAUAACACUUGGAAACAGGUGCUAAUACCGGAUAACAACUUUUCAUCGCAUGGUGGAUGGUUCAAAGUUUUUCGGCUGAGGAUGGGCCCGCGGCCUAUCAGCUUGUUGGUGGGGUAAUGGCCUACCAAGGCGACGACGGGUAGCCGGCCUGAGAGGGCGACCGGCCACACUGGGACUGAGACACGGCCCAGACUCCUACGGGAGGCAGCAGUGGGGAAUAUUGCGCAAUGGGCGAAAGCCUGACGCAGCGACGCCGCGUGAGGGAUGACGGCCUUCGGGUUGUAAACCGUCUUUCAGCUCUGACGAAGCGCAAGUGACGGUAGGAGCGAGAAGAAGCACCGGCCAACUACGCGCCAGCAGCCGC